rnacentral:rRNA from 1 species
GACGAACGCUGGCGGCGUGCUUAACACAUGCAAGUCGAACGGAAAGGCCCUGCUUUUGUGGGGUGCUCGAGUGGCGAACGGGUGAGUAACACGUGAGUAACCUGCCCUUGACUUUGGGAUAACUUCAGGAAACUGGGGCUAAUACCGGAUAGGAGCUCCUGCUGCAUGGUGGGGGUUGGAAAGUUUCGGCGGUUGGGGAUGGACUCGCGGCUUAUCAGCUUGUUGGUGGGGUAGUGGCUUACCAAGGCUUUGACGGGUAGCCGGCCUGAGAGGGUGACCGGCCACAUUGGGACUGAGAUACGGCCCAGACUCCUACGGGAGGCAGCAGUGGGGAAUAUUGCACAAUGGGCGGAAGCCGAAUGCAGCAACGCCGCGUGCGGGAUGACGACCUUCGGGUUGUAAACCGCUUUCGCCUGUAACGAAGCGUGAGUGAUGGUAAUGGGUAAAGAAGCACCGGCUAACUACGUG